UGUUAUCUUGGCAGAAUAAGUGCGUUAGAUUUAGAAUCUUUAUAUGUAAAAAUUUACAGAUAAUA
rnacentral:tRNA from 1 species